rnacentral:lncRNA from 1 species
UUUUUUUUUUGUUGUUGUUGUCUACUGCUUGGAUUUUAAAAAAUGAAUCUAAACAUAUUACUGCCGAGGUCCCAGAACUCAUGUGCCUGGGGCUCUUCCACACUUUAAGGACAAUGCUCCUCCUAUCUCCCAUGGGUCACUUCAGAGAUGUUCUUAUAAGUUAAUUCCCAAACUCUUUUCCGAUUUGAUAUUUUAAAAAUAUAUGAAUGAACAUGAACCUGGUGGGCUUAUAGUUUGACUAUAGGACUGAUUUUUAGACAAAGAUAAGUGGAGGCUUUGAGUUCCAGGCUGUAUCUUUACUAUUUUGCUAAAUGUUUUCAUAAGUAACAACAACAACAAAAAAUCACACAUUGAUCCCUGGUAACAAUGAUUUGACUUUAAAUACUAAAUUGGUACUAAAUUGGCAAUAAAGGUUUCUUAGUCCAGUAACUAUGGUGGGGAGUUACAGAUGUUAUUGGUUCACUAAGAUUAUUUAAAAAACCUAAUUAGUUAUUAAUUUAUAAAUGCAUUGUUUUGUGGAGCAAAUUUUGCAGGAUAUCAGGUCCCAGAGGACAAAGGUAAUAAAAGAGGCAUAUGGUAAUGAUAAUGGCCCAAUUAUACCUGAGUUAAUUUAUUCUUUAUCAUUUACACCAGUGCUUGAAUAUUUUGAUGAUUCCAACUUCUUAACAACUCCCAUGCCAAAGUAAUUAAUGUGCUAUUUGGAAUUUAAGUAGUCAGAUAUUUCUUUUUUGUAGUUCUGGCUUGUUGGAUAAUUUUAAACAUAGGAAGAAAGAUUCUCUUUUGCACAAGCUUGUCCACACACCAUGAAGUCUCCGGAGUCACAGGAUGACACCGACAUACAAAAUACUUGCCAGGAAUCGCUGCUGGGCUUGCCAGGGCUGCUGUCCAGGCAUGCUUACCUUAGAUUCUGACACUGUUUCUUCUCCUGCUAUAGGGAUCUCGUUGAAUGUAAAAAGGAAUUGACAACCUAAGGCCUUGUUCCCAAAAAGUAGAAGUUUAGACUUCCCCUGCGUCGGACUGUAUUUUACUCACACAAUUGUUGAACCCAUAACUAUAUAAACUAAGGUGAUUUUAAUGGAUAAAAUGUGAAGACUUUCUAGGAAAUCAAGCAGUUAGGAAGCAAGUGGAGAACCUAAUUAAAAAGAAAUUAUAUUAUAGCCUGGUGAGAAAGCCUUUAACGUACCAUUUCUUUAGGAGCCAGAGAUCUUAUGUCUGAUGCGUACCCCCUUGUCUGUAUUUGUGCAUAUAUAUCACCGUAAAAUAUCCUUAAUAUUAUGUUUGAAAUCAUAUAUAAAAUAACUCGAGUUAAAACAUUAAAAAAUUCCAAGUAUUACAAAAUCCCAGUCUAUGCAGUAUGGCAAUCGCAAACUAUAGAGAACUGCUCCUGCCUACAGCUGACUGUGAUAGACACCCCAUUAAUAUUUGUUUAUAUUCACAUGGGUAUGAAUGUGUGAACACUGAAGAAUAUCUCAGCUAUGGAGUUGUUGGGGUCAGUUGUUGUUGACUGUAUGCAAUAUAUUUAAGGAUUGUGUGUGUGUGAUCUUAUUUACUUAUAUUUUGAUAUUUACUAAUGAGAGAAUCCUGGUAUACACAUUCAGAUCCAAGGAUGUCAUGCACAUAUCAGAUCAUGAGGCUCACGGUACAGUAAGUUUGUAGCCUAUAGCAAAGUUGGUUCUACCAUCAUGUAUGGUAAGAGAGAACUCUAAAAAUAAGCCAGUUGCCCUUUUUAAGAUGAAGACUGUAGUCCUGUUCAGAGUGGAGAUGUCCUAAAAAGCGAGAACCAUGCUUGAAGUUAGUAAUGAUUCUAAAAUUGCUGAUCUACUUAACUCAUUUG